AGCGAAAUAGCUCAGUUGGGAGAGCGUUAGACUAUAAAACGAAAGGUCCGUGGUUCAAUCCUGGAUUCGGCAA
rnacentral:tRNA from 1 species